CCUACGGGUGGCAGCAGUGAGGAAUAUUGGUCAAUGGACGAGAGUCUGAACCAGCCAAGUAGCGUGAAGGAUGACUGCCCUAUGGGUUGUAAACUUCUUUUAUAUGGGAAUAAAAUGUUCCACGUGUGGGAUUUUGUAUGUACCAUAUGAAUAAGGAUCGGCUAACUCCGUGCCAGCAGCCGCGGUAAUACGGAGGAUCCGAGCGUUAUCCGGAUUUAUUGGGUUUAAAGGGAUCGUAGGUGGAUUGUUAAGUCAGUUGUAAAAGUUUGCGGCUCAACCGUAAAAUUGCAGUUGAAACUGGAAGUCUUGGGUAAAGUAGAGGUGGGCGGAAUUGGUGGUGUAGCGGUGAAAUGCUUAGAUAUAACGAAGAACUCCGAUUGCGAGGGAAGCUCACUGGACUGCAAGUGACACUGAGGCUCGAAAGUGUGGGUAUCAAAAAGGAUUAAUACCCCGGUAGUC
rnacentral:rRNA from 1 species